AGCAUUCAGCUUGAACCGCAAGGUGAAGGUGUAUUUGCUGUUGGCGGCGCUAGGAGGAGUGGACCUUGCUGUGGAUACUUGGCCAGAGGACUGCUCCGGCAGAAACUUGGCCUUGGGCAAAUGGUUUUGGUCUACUCUCGGAGUGUCAGCCUUUAGGAUGGCGGCUGUCUUGUGACUCUCGGUUGGCGGCUGUGAGUUGGUGGAGCUUGCUCCCCUUCUUUGGUUGCUGGCCCAGAUAGCUUGAUUGUCGUGGCACUGUCCUAGUGAAAAAGUCGGUCACCUACCUGACCCGUCUUGAAACACGGACCAAGGAGUCUAACAUGUGCGCAAGUUAAAAGGUGGUAAACCUAUAGAGCGCAAUGAAAGUAAAGGUCAGUUUAACUGGCUUAUAUGGGAUCCCUUGCUUCGGCAACAGGGGCACCAUAGUCCCGUCGCGUCUGCAUGUCAGUGCGGCGGAGACAGAGCGUACACGUUGGGACCCGAAAGAUGGUGAACUAUGCCUGAGCAGGAUGAAGCCAGGGGAAACUCUGGUGGAGGUCCGAAGCGGUUCUGACGUGCAAAUCGAUCG
rnacentral:rRNA from 1 species